rnacentral:rRNA from 1 species
CCUACGGGAGGCAGCAGUGGGGAAUAUUGCACAAUGGGGGAAACCCUGAUGCAGCGACGCCGCGUGAGUGAAGAAGUAAUUCGUUAUGUAAAGCUCUAUCAGCAGGGAAGAAAAUUACGGUACCUGAGUAAGAAGCCCUGGCUAACUACGUGCCAGCAGCCGCGGUAAUACGUAGGGGGAGAGCGUUAUCCGGAUUUACGGGGGGUAAAGGGAGCGUAGACGGCAGUGCAAGUCUGGAGUGUAAGGCGCGGGCUCAACCCCCGGACUGCUUUUGAAACUGUACGGCUGGAGUGCAUGAGAGGUAAGGGGAAUUCCAAGUGUAGCGGUGAAAUGCGUAGAUAUUAGGAGGAACACCAGUGGCGAAGGCGGCUAACUGGACUGUAACUGACGUUGAGGCUCGAAAGCGUGGGGAGCAAACAGGAUUAGAUACCCUAGUAGUC